AUUAUAGGGUGACUUUUUAAUUUGGAUAUUUUUAUUCUCUUAAGUUUUUUUUCCUUGUUGAAUAACUUCAUUUUAAUAAUUUUUCCCAAGUCAUCCUUUGCUUUACAAUCUAACCAUCCACCAGCAUUGUCAAGCCUUGGCAACAUAUACAUGGAUUGCAACAUGAUGAGUGUUGCUGCAUCAUUCUAUAAGGCAACUUUAGCAGUUACAACAGGGAUAUCUGCGCCCUUCAACAACUUGACUAUUAUAUACAAGCAACAGGGAAAUUAUGCAGAAGCGAUAGCCUGUUACAAUGAAGUUCUUCGCAGACUGCUGCUGAUGGUCUUGUCAAUAGAGAG